GCCCUAUACCCGUUAAGGCAUGAUGGCCUGUACCCGAAACCGACACAGGUGGGGUGGUAGAGAAUACCGAGGGGCGCGAGGUAACUCUCUCUAAGGAACUCGGCAAAAUGGCCCCGUAACUUCGGGAGAAGGGGUGCCACCGCGAGGUGGUCGCAGUGAAGAGGCCCAGGCGACUGUUUACCAAAAACACAGGUCUCCGCUAAGUCGCAAGACGAUGUAUGGGGGCUGACGCCUGCCCAGUGCCGGAAGGUUAAGGAAGCUGGUCAGCGCAAGCGAAGCUGGCGACUGAAGCCCCGGUGAACGGCGGCCGUAACGAUAACGGUCCUAAGGUAGCGAAAUUCCUUGUCGGGUAAGUUCCGACCCGCACGAAAGGCGUAACGAUCUGGGCGCUGUCUCGGAGAGAGGCUCGGCGAAAUAGAAUUGUCUGUGAAGAUGCGGACUACGUGCACCCGGACAGAAAGACCCUAUGAAGCUUUACUGUAGCUUGGUAUUGUGCUCGGGCUCGGAAUGCGCAGGAUAGGUGGGAGGCUUUGAUCCAUUGCUUGCGGGUGAUGGUGAGCCACUGGUGAGAUACCACUCUUUCCGAGCUAGAGUUCUAACAGCAACCCGUUAUCCGGGUGCUGGACAGUAUCAGGUGGGCAGUUUGACUGGGGCGGUCGCCUCCUAAAAGGUAACGGAGGCGCGCAAAGGUCUGCUCAGGCUGGUUGGAAAUCAGCCGACGAGUGUAAAAGCAGAAGCAGGCUUGACUGUGAGACCUACAAGUCGAACAGGGAGGAAACUCGGCUUUAGUGAUCCGACGGUUCUGCGUGGAAGGGCCGUCGCUCAACGGAUAAAAGUUACUCUGAGGAUAACAGGCUGAUCUCCCCCAAGAGUUCACAUCGACGGGGAGGUUUGGCACCUCGAUGUCGGCUCAUCGCAACCUGGGGCUGAAGUCGGUCCCAAGGGUUGGGCUGUUCGCCCAUUAAAGCGGUACGCGAGCUGGGUUCAGAACGUCGUGAGACAGUUCGGUCCAUAUCCUGCACGCGCAGGAAUAUUGAGAGGAUUUCUCCCUAGUACGAGAGGACCGGGAGGAACGCACCUCUGGUGUGCCAGUUAUCGUGCCAACGGUAAACGCUGGGUAGCCAUGUGCGGAGUGGAUAACCGCUGAAAGCAUCUAAGUGGGAAGCCCACCUCAAGAUGAGUAUUCCCAUGGCAUAAGCCAGUAAGGUCACGGGAAGAACACCCGUUGAUAGGCUCUACGUGGAAGCGCAGUAAUGUGUGAAGCGGAGGAGUACUAAUAGACCGAGGGCUUGAC
rnacentral:rRNA from 1 species